UGAAUCCAGCGCGGCUCCUUCGUGCCUCCGCGCAUCGACACAGCUAGUUAGUGUUAAUACCACCUGUGUGGUGUUUGGAAAACAAGUAUGUGAACAUAUCCUAAGUAAUGCAUUCACCGGCUCCGUUAAUGAAUGCAUUAUGACCUCAUUAGCAUAACGUCCGCGGUUCAGUUGCAUGAUGGAGAAGGUGGCAGGAGCACAAACACCGAGCACAACUGUGAACUCCAUCUCGUACCGCGGAGAUUCAAGGGCGCAAGGACUGUUGCAUCGUCUUGUUGCUAUGCAACGGUCUAAUUAGUCUUAGGUAGCUGACCCGAAGAAUGAAACUGGGGUGUGAUGUUGGAAAACCAAGGGAUCAGUGUAUUGUGGAUACAUGUUGUUUUUUCGCUGGCAGAAAAUAAUAUGAAAGUUUUCUCAUCCAAACACGGUGGCCGGUGCAGAGAUGGACACCAACGUGCUACAGAGUAUCCAGGACUUCAUACCAAUCAACGUUAUAGCUGUGCUAAAUGCUUCUCAGCUCCAGCUCAACGCACGCAGCGUACACGGGAGUGGUGGAUGUCCUCAUUCUGAUCUCCGGCAGACAAAGAAACAAGAUUUUCCCUCCAAA
rnacentral:lncRNA from 1 species